rnacentral:rRNA from 1 species
AUUGAACGCUAACGGCGUGCUUAACACAUGCAAGUCGAGCGGCAGCACAGUAGUAGCAAUACUAUGGGUGGCGAGCGGCGGACGGGUGAGUAAUGCAUAGGAAUCUGCCUUGUAGUGGGGGAUAACCCGGGGAAACUCGGGCUAAUACCGCAUAAUCUCUACGGAGCAAAGUGGGGGACCGUAAGGCCUCACGCUAAAAGAUGAGCCUAUGUUGGAUUAGCUAGUUGGUAGGGUAAAGGCCUACCAAGGCAACGAUCCAUAGCUGGUCUGAGAGGAUGAUCAGCCACACUGGGACUGAGACACGGCCCAGACUCCUACGGGAGGCAGCAGUGGGGAAUUUUGGACAAUGGGCGAAAGCCUGAUCCAGCCAUACCGCGUGCAGGAUGGAGGCCCUCGGGUUGUAAACUGCUUUUGUACAGAACGAAAAGGUUUCUACUAAUACUAGGAGCUCAUGACGGUACUGUAAGAAUAAGCACCGGCUAACUACGUGCCAGCCGCCGCGGUAA